GCAGCGCCAAGAUGGCGGCGCGCUGCCAGUACUCAACAUGGCGCCUGCGCCCGCGGUUGCGGCCGAAGUAAGAGCGUCGAUGUUUCCGUGGUUAUAUUACCUUAGCGGUGCUAGAAACGAGGGGGAAGCUCGUGCGUUGGCGGAUGAGAGGAGUGUAGUGCUGUAGGACUUACCAGGCCCAGCUCCCACAGUUUCUCCUAAGAGAGAUGCUCCAGACCCCUCAUCAUCUCUGUGGCCUCUCCUGGACCCUCUCCAGUAUCUCCUUGUCAUUCUUGUACUGCUUCUACACCUGGUAAUGCUUCUUAUCUCUGUGUAUGGGCAGGAGGCUGCAGGAGGGUGAGGAAUGUCCUUCCUGGAUGACAUCUGAUACCAACUGAUCUGCAAUUUUUGUGUAAUUCUGUUAAUGGGAAAAGGCACUGAGGAACUGCAAGAAUGAAUUGGCCUCCCUGUGAGUCACGAGGUCUUAAACUUAGAAAUUCAGCUGUGCAAUAAGCAUGUGAUCUCAUCAGCAUGCCAGGAGAAAUUCCCAGAGCGCCUGAUCCUCAGCAGUUGGUUGGAAGCACCCCCAGACCAGGGUUGUUUUGUGGCUGGAUGGAAUUGGCUGCGAGUCCCGGUAGAAAUGAGCUCAUCCCAAGGAGUGAGCUCUGCCUGGUGUCCCCUGACCUCUGUGGGAACAGUGUGUGUGCAGCCUGCAGAGCACUGAUUUCAUGGAAUACAUGUUUACCAGCUGCAGCCAAGAUUUAUUGCCCAAUUCUGAGUGCUGUGGGGUGGCCUGUGCAGUCACUGAGGUGAGGAGGCAUUUACAGCUGGCAGUGCCUUGCAGAACUGAUGUUCAGCCUGUAACAGUUUCUUCAGUUGCUUGCAACAAUUUGUUUUCACAGAGAAUGCUUAUUUCUCCAUUUUAUUCAGAGUGUAAAUGUUUCAGGCGCAGGGAUAAAUGUUACAUGGAGGGAUGGAGGCCAAAUACAUCAAGAGUGGCCCUAAAAGCAAGUAAUACCUUUAAGUGCUACCCUGCUGUUGACAUAGGAAAGCUUUUAGGUGGUGAGGUUUUUGGGAAGUAGCUUUGCAAAGGUGAUAACUGUUACCUCCCCAGGGCACCUUAAAGCAGGAUGGUGCUCUCUUGUCUGAGGUUGUCAGGCCUGGUGUGAUGGUGGGUCGUGGAUCUGGUGUCCUGUGGGAAAAUGGCAUCCAUAGUUAAUGGAAAGCAGAGGGUGCUCUUGGCAAUAAAAUAUAUGGGACAUCUAAUUAUCUAAUGAUUAGAUAAUAAUUAUUAGAUAAUAGAUAAUAAUUAGAUAAGUAUGAUCUUAUACUGUGCACUGAAACAGAGACUCUUUGCACACUCUUCAGUUUGUAUAAGUUUUUGCUCUUUUUGUUUGAAUCCUUAAAUUGAAAAUAAUUCAGUCCAGGUAUUAAGCUAGAGGAUGAAAUAGGAAUACUUAAGGCUUGUACCAAAGAUGUCUUUAAUACUUCUGCAAAUGUUUCAAUUUCCAUGCAGUUCUCUGGUUUUCAUUGUGAAUAUGAAGAAAUAUGGGGGAAAAUUUAAUCUCCUGCCUUUUGAUGAUGUGCAGAAGCACAACCAGUCCUGUAACAGAUGAGUAAAUUGGUUGCCCAGAGAGAUUGUAGAUCCCCAUCCCUGGAAGUGUCUAAAGCCAGGUUGGAGAGGGCUUGGAGUAACCUGGUCUAGUGGAAGGGGGUGGAACAAGAUGACCUUCAAAAGUCCCUUCCAACCCAAACCAUUCCAUGAUUCUGUGAAAUAAAAAAUACUUUAAAUAUGAUCUGCACAGUUACAGAAACAUCCAAAACUGACAUGUCUUUUGAAGAACCACAAUAUCAAUUUUGGAUAAUGAAUAUAAGCAUAAUCAUCAAAAUGUGAAACAGAAGGAUUUUAGCAACACAUUCCUAAUUUAGAACUUCCUUCUCUGCUAUUUCCAUAUUGGUCAAUGCAACUGUGGCUGUUGUGUCCAGGUGGAAUAAGCUGGGAGGUUUGCACAGCUUUUUAGUAUGAAAAUACUCAUUCAAAGGAACAGCAAAGAAGAUGUCAAAUAAUGCUGCAUUCCAGCAUGGAAUUGCAAGGAAAUGCAAAUUCUUAGGUCGAAUAGGGAUUGCUCUGGAAUGGUUGUGGUGCUUUUAAAAAGCUUGAGUUAACAUGCUAAUGUGAAAUGUGAGAGUGUUUUCAAUGAAGAGGACAGACACAGAAAAUUAUUACCAAAGCUAUUACAGUUUUUACCUCAAGCCAGGAUUUAGUGAUUUUUUCCAGGGUAUAGGUAAAUAAUCAGCAGCUUAUUUUUCUUUAAAUGGGCAGUAAGAAAGUUUCUGUUUGCUUUCAUUAUGGUAAAGGUAAGGAAUUCUUGAUUUCUUUGACCUCAAUGACAACUCGCCUGUAGUCUGUAAAUUAAAGAAGAAAAGCCUACAUUAUUUUUACAUUCUUGUCUGAGGUUGUCUUUAGUAUCCUUGAAAUGAAAGAAGUAGUUAGAGCUGUGUCCUUGGGUGACAAACCUCUGUGGCCGUGCCAGUCUCCAGCCCCUGUGCUCAAAACCUGUCUGUGGAUUAACGCCUUAGAGUUCCCUGUAACAGGAGGGGAUUUCCCGGGGGCACUGGGUAGAGGAAAGUUGCAGUUCAGGCAGGAAAUUGCACGUUCGUUGGAAGUUCUGCGGUUUGAUUUCUAAAAUGUCAUUUUACACUAGACAAACUUCCCUGCGCAGCUGUGGGCGUGUGCUGUGCACGGGGGCUAAAGGAGCAGCAAAAUGUGGAUUGAACCUUUCUGUCGAAGGACCACAACCCGAGGCUUAGAAAGACAAGAAAUCACAAGCACCUUAAUUAAUAUCUUGGGGCCUCUGAGGCAGUGGGAGGCUGAUGUGCCCGUUUAAUAACGCUGGACAUAAGGGUGUGCAAUUGCUGCCCGGGAACAGCAUCGCUGGUUACUUGUGUUUUGUUACGGAAACGCGAGACCGCAGCACCGCGCUUAAAUAAAAUGGUGAUGGUGCCGCAUUUAGCAACUCGCAGGGUGUCGUUUCAUUUCAGAAUU